UUAACUGAAACCAAAAAGAGGUAUAUUAUUGUUAAUAAUAAAAAUGAAUUAAACAUUCCAGUUAAA
rnacentral:tRNA from 1 species